CGGUUCUCGUUAGAUCACCGAAGUCAAGCAUCAUUGGGCGCGGUCAGUACUUGGGUGGGUGACCACCUGGGAACACUGCGUGCCGUU